rnacentral:lncRNA from 1 species
GGAGGAUCAGGGCAGCGUGCAGACUGUGGUGAUCAUCAUCCCAGCCCUGAACUCCCUGUCCACGCUGCUGAUCGUCAGCUGCAUCUUAUGGAAGACAUGCCGACAGCGGGCCCGCCUCACCUAUCCCAGCCCUCCAUCUCCAUGAAAGGACCCAGGGAAACCUCUCCAGGACCCUGACGGGCAUGGCAAUUUGUACAGGUAAUGCCAGAACUUGGGAGGAGGAAUACAUAAAAACCUGUCUGGAAAGGAGGAAAAGGAAAAGAGGGCUACUAGAACUGACGGGGAAUUUGUCUUUGAUUUGGUUACAGCACCAUAUGUACCCAAUGGUGAAGCCCUGGCACGUCUGCACACCCGUGACACUUCAGUGUGAGACGAAGAGGAGAAAUCUUCUUUGCUCUCUCAAGGCAACAAGUCAUGAAGUGCUCCACUGCCUUGAGCCUUAGCCACAACUAGGGUAGUGCCUCUUAGAGUCCCCUGCCCUGCCCUGGUUCUACCGUACCUUCCUCCACAAACCCUGAGAUCUAGAGGGGCUCAUUCAGUCACUGUUGUUAUCAUGGCUCUGAUGAUGGUGAGCCAUAUGUCCCCUCCCUGUAGCCUCUUGAUGUGUGUGUGUGUGUGUGUGUGUGUGUGUGUGUGUGUGUGUGUGUGACAGAGGGGAUGGAGAGCAAGGUGUGAGUGUGAACCCACAUUCCUUUGCACAUGCAUGGAGGACAACUUUGUGAAGUUGGCUCUCUGACCUGGACCAGCAGGUUGGUCUUCAGUGUCAGGUCCCAAAGAGAAAGAAAGGAUCAUGGGGUCAAAAAAAUACAGAAGAUAAGGAAGUUGGGGUCAGGGGGUCUUAUGCAAGCUAUGCCUUAUGCCAAGCAAGUUUAUUAAGAAGUCUAACAUCUUAUAUACAGUUUUCAGGGGUAGGAGUGGGACAGAGUCAGUGGGAAGCUAACAAAGCAAUGAACACGGAGGAAACACAGGAGGUCUCACGUGUGUCACAGGCAAGCACAUGGAGGAAACACAGGAGAUCUCACAUGUGUCACAGGCAAACACACGGAGGACACACAGGAGAUCUCACUUGUGUCACAGGCAAACACAUGGAAGAAACAGAGAUCUCACGUGUGUCACAGGCACAUGCUCUGCUGUCUUGGAACUGACAACCCUAGCUUAGGAUGGGAAGAUGGAGUUCUUAGGAUGAAGUCACAGCUCCCGCUAGGCCCUGGACCCAGGCUGCCACUGGCUUUGCCAAGCA